rnacentral:rRNA from 1 species
UGGAAAUUCGUGCCAUGAGCAGGUGGAAGACUAAGGGUACAAGUGUUAUUGGUAAUUAAUGGGCGUAAAGGAUGCGUAGGUGGUUGGUGAGUGCUGAGGUGAAGGCCCGGGGCGGAACCUGGGAAUUGCUUGGGAUACUGGCAGGAUAGAGUGCGGUAGAGGGUAGUGGAAUUCCCGGAGUAGCAGUGAAAUGCGUAGAGAUCGGGAGGAGCAUCCGUGGCGAAGGCGACUACCUGGACCAGCACUGACACUGAGGCACGAAAGCGUGGGGAGCAAACAGGAUUAGAUACCCUGUUAGUC